GAUCCUGGCUCAGAAUCAACGCUGGCGGCGUGCCUAACACAUGCAAGUCGAACGCGAAAGUCCCGCAAGGGGCAAGUAGAGUGGCAAACGGGUGAGUAACGCGUGGGUGACUUACCUCUGAGUGGGGGAUAACCUUCCGAAAGGAGGGCUAAUACCGCAUGACAUCCCGUGGUUGGAUACACGGACAUCAAAGCCGGGGAUCGCAAGACCUGGCGCUUGGAGAGGGGCCCGCGUCCGAUUAGCUAGUUGGUGAGGUCACGGCUCACCAAGGCAACGAUCGGUAUCCGGCCUGAGAGGGCGGACGGACACACUGGGACUGAGACACGGCCCAGACUCCUACGGGAGGCAGCAGUGGGGAAUUGUUCGCAAUGGGCGCAAGCCUGACGACGCAACGCCGCGUGGAGGAUGAAGACCUUCGGGUCGUAAACUCCUUUCGACCGAGAUGAAUUCUCGCCGGCCUAACACGCCGGCGGGGUGACAGUAUCGAGGGAAGAAGCCCCGGCUAACUCCGUGCCAGCAGCCGCGGUAAUACGGGGGGGGCGAGCGUUGUUCGGAAUUACUGGGCGUAAAGGGUUCGUAGGUGGCCUGCUAAGUCAGACGUGAAAUCCCUCAGCUUAACUGGGGAACUGCGUCUGAUACUGGAUGGCUUGAGGUUGGGAGAGGGAUGCGGAAUUCCAGGUGUAGCGGUGAAAUGCGUAGAUAUCUGGAGGAACACCGGUGGCGAAGGCGACAUCCUGGACCAAUUCUGACGCUGAGGAGCGAAAGCCAGGGGAGCAAACGG
rnacentral:rRNA from 1 species